UGGGGAAUAUUGGGCAAUGGGCGCAAGCCUGACCCAGCAACGCCGCGUGAAGGAAGAAGGCUUUCGGGUUGUAAACUUCUUUUCUUGGGGACGAACAAAUGACGGUACCCGAGGAAUAAGCCACGGCUAACUACGUGCCAGCAGCCGCGGUAAUACGUAGGUGGCAAGCGUUAUCCGGAUUUAUUGGGUGUAAAGGGCGUGUAGGCGGGAAUGCAAGUCAGAUGUGAAAACUAUGGGCUCAACCCAUAGCCUGCAUUUGAAACUGUAUUUCUUGAGUGCUGGAGAGGCAAUCGGAAUUCCGUGUGUAGCGGUGAAAUGCGUAGAUAUACGGAGGAACACCAGUGGCGAAGGCGGAUUGCUGGACAGUAACUGACGCUGAGGCGCGAAAGCGUGGGGAGCAAACAGGAUUAGAUACCC
rnacentral:rRNA from 1 species